rnacentral:lncRNA from 1 species
UCCUAUUCUAUGCUUGUCAAUGGAUGCAUGACUUUAAAGUGCGUACCUCGUUCAUGGAUGCAUGACGUUAAACUACCUAUCUCAUCCAUGGAUGCAUGACGCUAAACUGCUUACCUCGUCCAUCACCGCAUGACGAUAAACUAUUUGGAUGACUCCUCGGUUGCAUGAGUUUAAAAUGCGAACCAAGUCUAUCUUCAAUCUUUCAAAAAU